rnacentral:lncRNA from 1 species
AUGAAUUCCUACUAUUGCAGGUUUUAAGCAAAAAAUACUGUAUGUUUUUUAUCACCAGGCUCUGUUUACACAAAGAUGGAACAAGAGAAAAGGUUAUGCUUCCGCUGGACCACAAAACUGCCAAUGUUUCAGUGUUCCUACUGUUCCCAUCAGAGUCCACAGAACCACUUCAAUGUCUGGAGCAGAGCAAUAAUCCACAGAAGAUGAAAAACAGUGGUCUCCAGGAGUAACUCUAAAGCAUUUUGGCCUUAGAAUGUUCUUAAAAACUGAAGAUCCCACAAAACACUGUUUAUGUGAGCUGUAGCUGUGAAUACUUACUGCAUUUGAA